AACUGUCGUAAAAGGGGACGCGGAGGAGAAGGAAAGUCGCUCAAGCAGUGGACAGAGCGGAGAAAGCGACUUCGGCCGCAGAGAGAAGAAGCUGCCCAAGAAUGGAAAGGAAGAAAUAUAUCACAUCAUCUGUCUGUCCACAGGCUUUCCUUGGGGCUUAUGAAGUGAAUGAAGGAGGGAAGAAAGGAGAGACAGAGAAAAUAUGGGAAGUAUGCAGCUGGCAUCAGAAGCUGGAAGAUAGGAUCUUCCCGGAUCACAGCUCCUGUUCAGAAAGUCUGAGGAUGUCAGACUGAGACUGUUGAGUCUGAGGAUGUCAGACUGAGAUUGUUGAGUCUCAGGAUGUUGCAGGACAGGAUGGAUGAAGAAUGCUAGUCCUGGCAGUUGGGGCCUAAGGCCAGGGCCCUUUUUUAUCACUUUCUUGUGUUGCCUCUCUGCCCAAGAAAAAAUCUGUCUCUUGCAUACAGCUCCUCUAAUACGUGUCCAUUAGAAGGAAGGAGUUUCUUUAAUGAGCUCUAUGGUUUUAUCUUGCUCAUAACAGCUUAGUUUAAUGCCACUGAAACUGUAACAUUUUUUUGUGCCUAAUAUCAACUGACAAAUAUAAAGUUAUUCCUAAUUUAUUAAUUCAAAUGAUAUAUUGCAAAAUAAAAUCUGCUUAAUAUGAAAAGAAGUAAUCACUAUGACUGUUGCUUUUUCCUUUACAAAAGUCAGGAUAAUUGUUAACAAUGUUCUUUAGAAAGUUCCCCCAUAUAUUUCUUUAAUGAAUGAUCCAUCUUUAAUGAAUGAUCCAUCAUUUCCCAACAGAUUUGAAAUACCACUUUUUUAUAUAUGCUCCCACAUAUGCCUGGUUUGUUUCUGGGCCCCAUUUAUUUCACUGACUUAUUUUUCCAUUUCUGUACCAGAACAAAUUUUUUUUUUUGGUGUUUUGUUUGUUUGUUUGUUUGUUUAUUUAUUUAUUUAGAGACAGAGUCUCACCCUGUUGCCCAGGCUGGAGUGCAGUGGUGUGAUCUCGGCUUACUGCAACCUCCGCCUCCCGGGUUCAAAUGAUUCUCCUGCUUCAGCCUCCCGAGUAGCUGGGAUUACAGGUGCCCGCCACCAUGCCCAGCUAAUUUUUGUAUUUUUAGUAGAAACGGGGUUUCACCAUGUUGGCCAGGCUGGUCUCAAACUCCUGACACUGUGAUCCGCCCACCUCGGCUUCCCAAAGGGUCAGGAUUACAGGCAUGAGCCAUCGCACCCAGCCACAAAUUUUUUUAAUGUACACUGUAAGGCAUAUUUUGAAUGUGUAGGACUAGACUCGAUUAUUUACUUUUAAAUGAUUUUUGACAAUUCUGCAUUUAUUCUUUUGAAAUGUCUCUUUAAUUUAAAACAAAUCUGUUAAUAUCAAUGAGAUUUUGCUUGGACUUGAACUGCUAGAUUAACUAGCAGGGAGGUGUUGAUAUCCUUACGAUAUUAAAUAUUCCUAUCAUUAACAUGAUAUAUUUCUCCACUUUAGAUAUCUACUUUCCUCUUCUUCAGCAAAAUGUUAUUACUUUCUUUAUGCAAAGAUCACUUUGUGCAUUUUUCCAAAUAUUUCCUUGCUUACUCACAUUUUGUUAGAAAACUAUAAAAUUUUUAUUGUAUCUUUGUUUUAUAAAUUGAAUUUUCAAAAGUUAUAUGAUCCUCUUGUUAUUGCCGGAAUAGAAAAGGUAUUGGUUUUGAUAUAUUUACCUUAUAUUCAAAAUUCUAAUAAACUAUCUUAGUACCUCCAA
rnacentral:lncRNA from 1 species